ACGGCCAUACCAUGCUGAAUAUACCGGUUCUCGUUAGAUCACCGAAGUCAAGCAUCAUUGGGCGCAGAUCAGUACUAAGGUGGGUGACCACCUGGGAACACCGCGUGCCG